CGCGGCCUAUCAGCUUGUUGGUGGGGUGAUGGCCUACCAAGGCGUCGACGGGUAGCCGGCCUGAGAGGGCGACCGGCCACACUGGGACUGAGACACGGCCCAGACUCCUACGGGAGGCGGCAGUGGGGAAUAUUGCACAAUGGGCGAAAGCCUGAUGCAGCGACGCCGCGUGAGGGAUGACGGCCUUCGGGUUGUAAACCUCUUUCAGCAGGGAAGAAGGCCUUCGGGUGGACGGUACCUGCAGAAGAAGCGCCGGCUAACUACGUGCCAGCAGCCGCGGUAAUACGUAGGGCGCAAGCGUUGUCCGGAAUUAUUGGGCGUAAAGAGCUCGUAGGCGGUUUGUCGCGUCUGGUGUGAAAUCCCGAGGCUCAACCUCGGGCUUGCAUCGGGUACGGGCAGACUAGAGUACUGUAGGGGAGACUGGAAUUCCUGGUGUAGCGGUGGAAUGCGCAGAUAUCAGGAGGAACACCGAUGGCGAAGGCAGGUCUCUGGGCAGUUACUGACGCUGAGGAGCGAAAGCAUGGGGAGCGAACAGGAUUAGAUACCCUGGUAGUCCAUGCCGUAAACGUUGGGCACUAGGUGUGGGGCUCAUUCCACGAGUUCCGUGCCGCAGCUAACGCAUUAAGUGCCCCGCCUGGGGAGUACGG
rnacentral:rRNA from 1 species